UACGGAGGGGGCUAGCGUUGUUCGGAAUUACUGGGCGUAAAGCGCACGUAGGCGGCUUUGUAAGUUAGAGGUGAAAGCCCAGGGCUUAACCCUGGAAUUGCCUUUAAGACUGCAUCGCUAGAAUCGUGGAGAGGUAAGUGGAAUUCCGAGUGUAGAGGUGAAAUUCGUAGAUAUUGGGAAGAACACCGGUGGCGAAGGCGGCUCACUGGCCCGUAACUGACGCUCAUGCACGACAGCGUGGGGAUCAAACAGG
rnacentral:rRNA from 1 species